rnacentral:rRNA from 1 species
CCUACGGGAGGCAGCAGUGAGGAAUAUUGGUCAAUGGACGCAAGUCUGAACCAGCCAUGCCGCGUGCAGGAAGACGGCUCUAUGAGUUGUAAACUGCUUUUGUACGAGGGUAAACGCAGAUACGCGUAUCUGUCUGAAAGUAUCGUACGAAUAAGGAUCGGCUAACUCCGUGCCAGCAGCCGCGGUAAUACGGAGGAUUCAAGCGUUAUCCGGAUUUAUUGGGUUUAAAGGGUGCGUAGGCGGUCGGAUAAGUUAGAGGUGAAAUCCCGGGGCUCAACUUCGGAAUUGCCUCUGAUACUGUACGGCUAGAGAGUAGUUGCGGUAGGCGGAAUGUAUGGUGUAGCGGUGAAAUGCUUAGAGAUCAUACAGAACACCGAUUGCGAAGGCAGCUUACCAAGCUACUUCUGACGUUGAGGCACGAAAGCGUGGGGAGCAAACAGGAUUAGAUACCCUUGUAGUC